AAGAUACAACUAAAACACAAAUAGCGCUUCAGUAAUCACAUCAACAACAAACACAAUGGUAUCAUAACAUAAUAAAUUGGUAAAUUACAAAGUCACUAGGUGUCUAAAAUAAAACAGUUGUGCUAAUACGAACAGUUUAAAAGCAAAAUGUAUAAACAUUGAAAAAAGUUGACAAAUUUAUGACAAAUCUGGCUUAGGAUUUUGUAUACACGUUUAGAGUGAUUGAUUACAAAGAAAAAAAUAUCAAGCAUGAAAUCGGACUAUUAUUAUUGUUACAAAAUAACUUCUAACAAAAUCUAAUCACUAUUAAAUAUUAUAGAAUACAUAAACUUGUUCACAUAAAAUCAAUAGGAAUAGUUAAUAAUGGAAUAAAUGAAUAAGUGGAAGAAAAUGAAAUAACUAUGAAACAAUGUCCCAGGUUAGGGGAGGGUUGAGGGCUCACAAAUAAUGUUUAACCCGCCACAUUCUGUAUGUGACUGUCCCAAGUCAGGAGCCUGUAGUUCAGUGGUUGUCGUUGCUUCACGUCUGUCAUAUUUGUUUUGUUAUAAAUUAUGCCGUUCGUUUCAUAUUUGUCAUGUUGGAGCCUUUUAUAGCCGACUUUACGGUAUAGGUUUUUCUCACUGUUGAAGCCUGUACAGUUGCCUAUAAUUGCUUACCUCCUUUUCAUUUGAACUUUGGUGGAUAGUUGUUUAAUUGACAACCAUGUCAUAUCUCCUUAUUUUUAUAUACAAAUUUUGAUAUUGGCGAUGAAAGGAAAAAUGGUUAAAUUUUGUAAAACUGACAAUGAAUAUUGAAAUUUAAAUUUUACACACUCGACUCCUUCAAAUUAUCAACAGACGUACAACAUAAAAAAAAACUCAUUAAAGAUUCCAGGCUUAUCAUUUUGAGCAUCAUUGUAUUUUUCGUUUACAAAAAAGAAAAAUAUCAGAAAUACAAGAAAAAUUCAAAACGAAAAAUUCCCUUAUCAAAGGGCAACAUCAAAAGGUCAAACACAUCAAACGAAUGGGAAGUCAUAUUCCUGACUUGGUUCAGGCAUUUCCUUAUGUAGAAAAUGGUGAAGUAAACCUGGUUUUAUAGCUAGCUUAACCUCUCACUUGUAUGACAGUCGCAUAAAAUUCCAUUAUAUUGACAACAAUGUGUGAACAAAACAAACAGACAUGAUAGAUAAAAUAUUUAAAUGUAAAAAAUAGGGGUACAGCAGUCAACAUUGUGUAAUAAUCUUAAUCACUAUAAAAAAAGACAAAUAUGUCAACAAAGAAAAUAAAAUGGCAUAUAGACCAAAGCGAAUAGGCAAAAAUAUACAAGAAUACAAAAAUGACCAUAGCAAAAUAACACAAUGGCAGGAUGUUUAAGUACUGAGCCACACCAAAAGAUCCCAAAAGGGUAUAACAAAAAAGGGCUAAACAGUUAAAAGUAAUUUACGA
rnacentral:lncRNA from 1 species